UCGUUUUUGCUAUGUUCUUUUUUUUUUCCUUUGAUAUGAAAGUGGCACUAUAUGAUUCAUGUCUUUGGAAAGUGAAACUCAGAACUACACCAUCAUUGGAAUAUAUCAAACAUUUAUUCUAUUGUCAACUCAAUCACAAUAACUUUACAAGGCCAUCAAGCAAUCAAAUUUUAAGAAUUAUAUGAUGAUAUUCAUUUUCCGGGAACAAAAUUUGUGGCGUAGGCCCAGGCAUUGUUGUUAACCGGAUCUGCUAGGUGGUCAGCAAGGUUCUCCAAUGGACCCUUUCCUGUAACAAUGGCCUGAACAAAGAAUCCAAACAUAGAGAACAUAGCAAGUCUACCGUUCUUGAUCUCCUUUACCUUGAGCUCAGCAAAUGCCUCUGGAUCAUCAGCAAGACCUAAUGGGUCAAAGCUGCCACCGGGAUAGAGUGGGUCGACAACCUCGCCAAGAGGCCCACCAGCAAUACGGUAUCCCUCAACGGCUCCCAUCAAGACAACUUGGCAAGCCCAGAUGGCCAAGAUGCUCUGUGCAUGGACCAAACUUGGGUUGCCCAAGUAGUCAAGUCCACCCUCGCUGAAUAUCUGGGAUCCAGCCUUGAACCACACAGCCUCACCAAACUUGACACCAUUACGGGCCAAGAGCUCGGGGAAAACACAUCCAAGAGCACCAAGCAUAGCCCAUCUGCAGUGGAUCACCUCGAGUUCACGGUUCUUGGCAAAGGUUUCUGGGUCUGCUGAAAGUCCAGCGGUGUCCCAACCAUAGUCACCAGGGAAUUCACCGGUCAAGUAGCUUAGGGGCUCACCAGAGAGUGGGCCCAAGUACUUAACACGGUCUGGGCCAUACCAUGGGCUGCUAGAUGGUGCAGACUUGAGAGCCCUUCUCAUAGAGAUUCUUCCAUUUCCAGUGAUUUCUGAGGGAGAGGGUGAGAGUUUCACUGCCUGUCCAGCAAAAGAAGGGGAAGAAAGAGCCAUUGUAGAAGCUGCCAUGGUUUUUCUCAAGAGAAAGGUAAGUGUUUGAUGGUAUGAAAUAUUGUUGAAGUUGGCUGUGAUGAGGUGAAGUUAAUUACAAGGGGCUUCACCAUAUAUAGGAGGAGUAAGAGCGGUAGAGGCCUUUAUCUAACGAUAUCUACAUCUUUUUCUUUUGGUGUUAACGAUAUCUGUAUCUGUGAUCUCAUUGGGUAAUAAGAUCACAUGUGUAGAAAUUAAUGCACACUUGGCAAUCUCCAGACUCCAAUCCAUCAAUUUUCCAAGAUGUUUACUAAAGGGACCCAUCCAAUAUUGUCCUCCUUUGUGUGGAUACGAGGGUAUUGACUCUAUUCUGUGAUUUGUUGAGCUUACAAUAAGAUAUCUCUUAUCGUUAUCCAUUGGGAAUUUCUCCGGAUUUUAUCUAAUAGCUGGGAAUAAGUUACCAACACUAUAGCUCAUUCAAUGUAGAAGUAGAAACUAGAACUAUGUUUUAAGCAUUCCACUAAAUAAAUUGUGGAAAAACUGAAUUUUUUAAAUCAGAUUGUCAGUUACUAAUGUUUAUCAAAAGAUUAAUUUGUAGUAAUUACUUAAUAAGCAAAAGUGGAUCAGAAUUUGAACUUUUAUGGGUUCUGUAGUCUAGGACGACGACCUUAAAUUCUACUAAAUAGUUUCUAAAUUUAACUUUUCUACAUAUUUAAUAAGUUUAUUAAAACAUACAUGGUUUGGGCCAAAGUUAGUUCUGUCAAACCGGUUUGCUGAAGGGUACCUCUGCGCGUCCAUGUUAAUAAGUGAUAUGAUUGUGUUAUGCGUAAGUAUUUUUACAAUGUCAGUGCAUAGCGUCUCUAUAGGGUCGUCUAUACCUUGUAUCUUCUGCUUACAAUGUCCAUUUGGCUCUGAUCAUUGCUAUGUGAACAUGUUCUUCUCUAAAGAUAGUACCGCAUGCAUGUAAGGAAGGAGGACUACACAAGAAAUUCAAGAAUUUGUUCAAAUCUAAGAGGCUAAUUAAAUUAAGGGCACAUUAGUAUAAUGACCUGGAAACUCAUAUAUUACUUGCUACGUUCAUAUUACAAAACAUAUGCAUUGGUUUUCCCCUUAUCAUUUAAAUGUCAAUGGCCUACGUAGUAGUGAAAUAAUAUUAUGUCCUCUUAAUUUAUCUCACUUCUCUACAGGAAAAUAAGGAAUCAUGUAAAUAGCAUCAUGUUGUUCAUUGUUAUUCUUGGCACUAAGAGUAUUGCUUCAUGAGAAUUAAUUGAAUUUCAAGCUUUACCACAUCCAAAUGUAUCUUGGGUUUUUUGUUUUGGCUCUGUCAUCUUUUUUUCUCGCCUUGAUAUGAAACUGGCAGUAUUUUAUUCAUGCCAUUGGCAAAUGAAAUUCAGGACCAUACAAUAGUUGGAAUAUAAGAAAAAUCCAUUCUAUUGUUAAGUAAACUCACAAUUACAACUUUACAAGGACAUCAAACAAUGAAAUUUUAAGAUUGUUUUAUGAUAUUCAUUUUCCAGGAACAAAGUUUGUGGCGUAGGCCCAUGCGUUGUUGUUAACUGGAUCUGCAAGGUGGUCAGCGAGGUUUUCCAAUGGACCCUUUCCGGUAACAAUGGCCUGAACAAAGAAUCCGAACAUAGAGAACAUAGCAAGUCUACCGUUCUUGAUCUCCUUUACCUUGAGCUCAGCAAAUGCCUCUGGAUCAUCAGCAAGACCCAAUGGGUCAAAACUGCCCCGGGGUAUAGUGGGUCGACAACUUCACCAAGAGGCCCACCAGCAAUACGGUAUCCCUCAACGGCUCCCAUCAAGACAACUUGGCAAGCCCAGAUGGCCAAGAUGCUCUGUGCAUGAACCAAGCUUGGGUUGCCCAAGUAGUCAAGUCCACCCUCGCUGAAGAUUUGGGAUCCAGCCUUGAACCACACAGCCUCACCAAACUUGACACCGUUACGGGCCAACAGCUCGGGGAAGACACAUCCAAGGGCACCAAGCAUAGCCCAUCUGCAGUGGAUCACCUCGAGUUCUCGGUUCUUGGCAAAGGUUUCUGGAUCUGCUGAAAGUCCACCGGUGUCCCACCCGUAGUCACCAGGGAAUUCACCGGUCAAGUAGCUUGGGGCCUCACCGGAGAAUGGGCCCAAGUACUUAACACGGUCUGGGCCAUACCAUGGGCUGCCAGAUGAGGCAGGCUUGGUGACAGCCUUUCUCACAGAGAUCCUUCCAUUUCCAGUGAUUUCUGAGGCAGAGGGUGAGAGUUUCACUGCCUGUCCAGCAAAAGAAGGGGAAGAAAGAGCCAUUGUAGAAGCUGCCAUGGCUUAUCUCAAGAGAAAGGUAAGUGUUUGAUGGUAUAAAAUAUUGUUGAAGUUGGUUGUAAGGAUGCUGAAGUUAGUUGGGUUCAGAAUGUAUAGGGGUUAAGUAGAGAGAAAAAAUCCUCUUAUCUAGUGCUGUCUAUAGCUAUGAUUUCAUUGGGUAUCAAGAUCCCAUGUAUAGCAAUUAAUGCACUCUUGGCAAUCUCCAAUCCAUCAAUUUUCCAAGAUGUUCACUAAGGGGAACCCAACCAAUUUUGUCUUCCUAUAUGUGGCUGCAAAGCUUGAAAUCUAUUCUAUGAUUUCUUGAGCUUCAAUAUGAUAUCUCUUAUCCAUUGAGAAUUUCUCAAGAUUUUAUCCACCAGGAGUAUAGCUCAUUCAGUGUAGAACUAUGGCUUAGCAUUUCACUAAUUAAAUUGAGGAAAAGCUGAAAUUCAUUUGUAUCAGAUCAUCAAUUACUAAUGUUUGUCAAAAGAUUAACCUGUAAUUGCUUAAUAAGAAAAGGUGGAUCAAGAAUUGAACUUUAUGAGUUCUGAAAUCCUGGACUAGACCUUAAGUAGUAUAUCCUCCGCCUCAAUUUAUGUGACACAAUUGAAAUUUCGCGAGUCUACCAAGUUUUUUUUUGAUGGAAAUAUCUUUGUAUGUCUUUUAAAUAUUUCAAGUUGUUAAUUAUUGAUAGUAGUACUUUUUGUUUUUAGAUGACCGUGGUGUCCCAUACUUGCCACCUCCCACCAACAUGGGAUUUGAACCUAAAACCUUUGAGGUUCUCAACCCACUUCAUUGACCAUUAGACCUUGGGUGCAUUGUGAUUUACAGUAUUGUUUUAAUAGUUUCCAAGUACAUAGAUUUUAUUUCAAAAAACUUAAAACUUUUGUGUCCAAAUUGACUGUUAAAAGUUUGAAUUUUGAAAUUCCUACCGUGCCACAUAACAGAGGGAGUAAUAAAAAGAUUCUGAAUUUGAUGUACAUACAUAUUUAAUGGUUUUUGUAACACAUAUACAUAAUUUGGGCCAAAGCUACUUGGUUCUAUCAAACAGUAUGCUGAAGGCUACCCCUGCACCUGUUAAUAAGUGAUAUGAUUGUAUUUAGUAUUUUUUAUAAUGUUAAUGCAUAGAACUUAAUUUCCUUUGUAGUAAGUUUCAUGUAUAGCUUACUUUUAUCUUCUUCUUACUAUGUCCUUUUGGCUCUGGUCAUUACUAUGUGCCAUGUUUCGAAGGAUGCCUGCCUCUGUUAAAUAAGCCGUCACACAGGCAUGCAAGGAAGGAAGGAAGAGUAUACAAGAAAUUUAUGGAUUUGUUCAAAUAAAAGAUGCUAAUUAAAUUAACGUACACGUAAACCUAAGUAUUAUGACCUGGAAACUCAUAUAGCAGUACUUGCUACAUUCAGACCACAAAAAUAUUGGUUUUCCCUUUUAACUGAAAUGUCAUUGGUCUAGUAGUAAAAUAAUAUGAUGAUCCUCUUUCACUUCUUGACAGAAAAAUGAGUAAUAAUGUAAUAACAUCAUAUCGUUCAACAUUAUUCUUUGCACUCAUUUUGAGUAUUGCUUCUUGAGAAUUAAUUGAAUUCCAUUAGUUCCUCCGGUCUGAAAAAUGUAAGUUUUAGCUUUUAACAGCUUUAUAACUUUUCUAGUUACCAUAUCCCAAUUGUAGCUUCGGUCUUUUUCUGCUAUGCUCUUCUUCGUUUUUCCUUUGGUAUGAAAGUGGCAAUAUAUGAUUCAUGUCUUUGGAAAGUGAAACUCAGAACUAGACCGUCAAUGGAAAAUAACAAACAUUUAUUCUAUUGUCAACUCACUCACAACAACUUUACAAGGCCAUCAAACAAUCAAAUUUUAAGAAUUAUAUUAUGAUAUUCAUUUUCCAGGAACAAAGUUUGUGGCGUAGGCCCAGGCAUUGUUGUUAACCGGAUCUGCUAGAUGGUCAGCAAGGUUCUCCAAUGGACCCUUUCCUGUAACAAUGGCCUGAACAAAGAAUCCAAACAUAGAGAACAUAGCAAGUCUACCGUUCUUGAUCUCCUUUACCUUGAGCUCAGCAAAUGCCUCUGGAUCAUCAGCAAGACCUAAUGGGUCAAAGCUGCCACCGGGAUAGAGUGGGUCGACAACCUCGCCAAGAGGCCCACCAGCAAUACGGUAUCCCUCAACGGCUCCCAUCAAGACAACUUGGCAAGCCCAGAUGGCCAAGAUGCUCUGUGCAUGGACCAAACUUGGGUUGCCCAAGUAGUCAAGUCCACCCUCGCUGAAUAUCUGGGAUCCAGCCUUGAACCACACAGCCUCACCAAACUUGACACCAUUACGGGCCAAGAGCUCGGGGAAAACACAUCCAAGAGCACCAAGCAUAGCCCAUCUGCAGUGGAUCACCUCGAGUUCACGGUUCUUGGCAAAGGUUUCUGGGUCUGCUGAAAGUCCAGCGGUGUCCCACCCGUAGUCACCGGGAAAUUCACCGGUCAAGUAGCUUGGAGACUCACCUGAGAAUGGACCCAAGUACUUGACACGGUCUGGCCCAUACCAUGGGCUGCCAGAUGAGGCUGGCUUGGAGACAGCCUUUCUCAUAGAGAUCCUUCCAUUUCCAGUGAUUUCUGAGGCAGAGGGUGAGAGUUUCACUGCCUGUCCAGCAAAAGAAGGUGAAGAAAGUGCCAUUGUAGAAGCUGCCAUGGCUUAUCAAGAGAAAAGUAAGUGUUUGAUGGUAUGAAAUAUUGUUGAAGUUGGCUGUGAUGAGGUGAAGUUAAUUGCAAUUAAUGCACUCCUGAGAAUCUCCAAUCUAUCAAUUUUCCAAUAUGUUUAUAAAGGGGGACCUAACCAAUUUUGUCCUCCUAUAUGUGGCUGCAAGGCUUGAAAUCUAUUCUAUGAUUUCUUGAGCUUCAAUAUGAUAUCUUUUAUCCAUUGGGAAUUUCUCAAGAUUUUAUCCACCAUGACUAUAGUUCAUUCAGAGUAGAACUAUGUCUUAGUAUUUCACUAAAUAAAUUGAGGAAAAGCUGAAAUUCAUUUGUAUCAUAUUAUCAAUUACAAAUGUUUGUCAAAGAUUAACCUGUAAUUGCUUAAUAAGAAAAGGUGGAUCAAGAUUUGAACUUUAUGAGUUCAGUUCUGAAAUCUAGGACUAGACCUUAAGUAGUAUACCCUCCGUCCCAAUGUAUGUGGCACAAUUGGAAUUUCGAGAGUCAAUCAAAUUUUUCUUUGAUGAAAAUUCUUUGUCUUUUAAAUAUUUCAAGUUGUUAAUUAUUGUGAUUUGUUGUAGUACUUUUUAUUUUUAGAUAACCGUGGUGUGAGGUAUUUGCCACCUCCCACCAACAUGGGAUUUGAACAUAAGACCUUAAUCCACUUCAUGGACCAUUAAGCCAUAACCUUGGGUGCAUUGUGAUUUAUAGUAUUGUUUACAUAGUUUCCAAGUACAUAAACUUUAUUCUUCAAAAAACUUAAAACUUUUUUGUCUAAAUUGAUUGUCAAAGUUUAAAAGUUUGAGUUUCGAAAUUCUGAUUGUGCCACAUAAAUAAAACAGUGGGAGUAGUAAAUAGAUUCUGAAUUUGAUUUAUAUAUCUAUUUAAUGAUUUUUUUAACACAUAUACAUAAUUUGGAUCAAGGCUACUUGGUUCUGUCAAACAGUAUGCUGAAGGCUACGUCUGCCCCUGUCAAAUAAGUGAUCUAAUUUUAUUAAUAUUUUUUAUAAUGCCAAUGCAUAGAACUUAAUUUCCUUUGUAGUAAGUGUCAUGUAUAUCUACUUUUAUCUUCUUCUUACUAUGUCCUUUUGGCUCUGGUCAUUACUAUGUGCCAUGUUUCGAAGGAUGCCUGCCUCUGUUAAAUAAGCCGUCACACAGGAAUGCAAGGAAGGAAGAGUAUACAAGAAAUUUAUGAAUUUGUUCAAAUUAAAGAUGCUAAUUAAAUUAACGUACACGUAAACCUAAGUAUUAUGACCUGGAAACUCAUAUAGUAGUACUUGCCAGUAGGGCUGGGCAUAUUUUGGUUUAAACCGAAAAAACUGAAAAAUCAAAUCGAAAUUUUAAUUUCGAUUUAGUUUUUCGAUUUCUUGGAUCGGUUUUGAUUUUCAAUUUUUGAAAUUCGGUUAAACGGUUUGGUGUUCAUUUUUUCAAAAAACAAAAAAUUUGGAUAAACCGAUUAACCGAAAUUCUAUAAAUAAUUAAUAAUAUAUAUAUAUAUUAUUUAAUAUAUAAUAAAAUAAUAUAAAUAUAUAAUAGCCACCCUAAUAACUAAUAAGUAAUAGCACGCCACAUACAGCUAAAAACAUACAUCAGUCCAAUAUUAGAACAAUCGAUUGAACCAUCGACCGCCAGCGAGAUCGUCGUCUGUACAACGACACUAGAGCGGGCGACCAGACGACCACUGUGGGCUGCAGCCUGCAGCGCCGUCUGUGGUCUUUCCGGCAGCGACCACUCUUCCGAGUUUCGACUGUUUAUGCAAACUUAUGUUAUUUUCGUUUGUACUUCGGGUACACAGAAUCUGUAUAUGCAGAAACAGCAACUUCAACUAAAGUUCAAGUAUAUAAACAAGAACACAAUGAAGUAUAUCAAAUACCCUCAACACAAGAUCAAAAUGACCUUUCCAAGAGGUGUAUUUUAUUUUUCAGAAAAUAGAUGAAACAGAAAUGAAUAAGACCAAGCAGUCCGAAUUCACGGACUUUCCUUAAGGAAUAAUGCCCCUCACUGUAUCCGAGGUUAUGGAAUCUUCCUCCCAGGAUAAAAUGGCCUUCAAUCCGACUAUAGCGGUACCUCAAAUAAGCGGAUUCUUCAAACACACAGAACGCUUUGAUUGAUCACACAGAAUAUUUGUAAAGAAAAGAAGAGAGUUUUUAUUCUGCAAAAUUUUUAUAUCAAAACCUGUAAAGGUAAGCAGGUUUAUAUAGCCUAGCAAAUGCCUCUUCGAAAAGGUGGCAUUGGUUCACUUAAAUGGUGUGAUAUUUCUGAAAAUGCAUGUCUGCAACAUUUUUGCUGAAGCAGUAUACCAUUUCACCAAACAGUGCACCUGUUCGAAACAGUACAUCACUUCAUUGAAGAAUUGUAUCUGUUCAGUCGAAGCAAAAAUAGUAUAUCAGUUCAGUGCAUGCAUCAGUUCAGUCAAAACGAAACAGUACAUCAGUUCAGUCAAAACAGUGCAUCAUUUCUGUUGAAACAUUGCAUCUAUUACAGUUACUACAUGUAUUUCGUUAAAUAAAGUUUGUCCAAAAAAGAUAGAUCUCAUCGAUCUAUCAUUUUCCAAAUUCGAAUCCAAAUUCGAAGCCGAGAGAGCGACGACGACGACGGCACGAGGCAUCUCUUAUUUCUUGCCUCACUUAUCAUGUGGAGUAAGUAUUCAUCAUUAUAAACACUCCAAAGUUCCCUUCUCCCAUAAAUGUGGGAGAAUUAGUGAACUUUUUAAUUUUGGGAGUAUACUUUCCAAAUUGGUGUCUCCUCUUCUCCACCAUUUUUUUCUCUAUUUUCCAUUCACACUUUUAUGAAACUAACAAUCCCCCACAUGAAUGGGGAAUGGCUAUUUUUUGUAAAAAUUUUACGGACAAGAAUAUGAUCAUCAAGCAAAGACUGAUUUCAUCUGGAUAAGUGGGUUUCCCUUUGAACUUUCCGUAGUGAACAUGCAUCAGAUGCACUCGGUAAAUUGAUAGAUUUGAUAUCUUUGAACCGUCGAGCUUUAAUGUACACCUAGACAACACAUAUCACACAACCAUCCUUUUAACAUUUAUGGUUCUUACAAUUUUGUUCUUUUCAUCCAUGAACACGUCCCGGUUUUCAUGAGGGCUUAGAGAAUAGGCCUUUACUAACAUUCUCCUUGAAGCGGCUUUCACUUCACCCUUACAUAGGUGAUUUCUAAACGUUCUAUCCUGCAGAUUAAAAUAUUUGGUCAAAUCUGCCAAAUUUAGAUAAUCAUUAAAAGACUUUUCACCUUAAGUUUUAUCCUAGUUUACUAUACAUUAUCUACAUCAUGAGAAUGGGUUGGGUAAUUGACAAUGUUGAACCUGUCAGACACAACUUUGUUUGAUCUCCUUUAACCUAGUUGGGAUCGCCAGUCUGCUAGGUAGAGUUAUCGCUAUGCUGACUCGUCCUAGGCCUUAAACCCAUUCUCUUGGAUGUUCUUUCCACUCCUUCUCUAGAUAGGCCUUUUGUAAGUGGAUCCGACACAUUAUCAUUUGACUUUACAUAGUCAAUAAUGAUAAUUCCACUAGAGAGAAUUUCCCUAACGGUAUUAUGUCUCCGUCGUACGUGACGAGAUUUACGGUUGUACAUCAUGCUCCCUGCCCUACCUAUUGCCGCUUGGCUAUCAUAGUGUAUACAUACUGGUGCCACUGGUUUGGGCCAAUACAAAAUAUCUCCCAAGAAAUUUCGGAGCCAUUCUGCUUCUUCACCAGCUUUAUCUAAUGCGAUAAAUUCAGAUUCCAUUGUAGAGCGAGUGAUACAAGUCUGUUUGGAUGAUUUCCAAGAAAUUGCUCCUCCACCGAUAGUAAAUACAUAUCCACUUGUGGAUUUUACUUCGUUCGAUCCGGUGAUCCAAUUUGUAUCACUAUGUCCUUCAAGUACCGCAGGAUAUUUAUUAUAAUGCAAAGCAUAGUUUUGAAUGUAUUUUAAGAUACCCCAAAACUCUUUUCAUUGCCAUCCAAUGAGUUUUGUUGGGAUUACACCUGUACCGACUCAAUUUUGUAGUUGCACAUGCUAUGUCCGGUUGUGUACAGUUCAUUAUAUACAUUAAAAAUCCCAAUACUCUUGCGUACUCCAAUUGUGAAUCACUUUCACCUUCAUUCUUUCGAAGUGCAAAGUUCACGUCCAAUGGAGUCAUGGCAAUACCGAAUUCCAUAUCCUUGAACUUGUCAAGUACUUUUUCGAUAUAAUGAGACUGUGACAAUGCUAACCCUUGUGGAUUUUGAUGGAUUCUUAUACCUAAGAUUACAUCUGCAACUCCAAGGUCUUUCAUAUCAAACUUGCUCUCGAGCAUUCGUUUGAUUGCAUUUAUGUCACAAAUAUAUCUGCUGAUGAUCAACAUAUCAUCCACAUAUAAACAAACAAUGACUUGGUGAUUUGGUGUGUCUUUAAUAUAUAAACAUUUGUCACAUUCAUUUAUCUUGAAUCCAUUUGCCAACAUGGUUUGGUCAAACUUUGCAUAUCAUUGCUUAGGUGCUUGUUUUAGUCCAUAAAGUGACUUAACAAGUUUACACACCUUAUUUUCUUUUCCUGGCACCACAAAACCCUCAGGUUGUUCCAUGUAUAUUUCUUCCUCCAAAUCUCCAUUUAGGAAUGCGUUCUUCACAUCUAUUUGAUGGAUUUGAAAAUCAUAUACCACCACCAAGCCAAUUAACAUUCAAAUCGAGGUUAUCCUUGUUACUGGUGAGUAUGUAUCAAAGUAAUCAAGGCCUUCCUUCUGUUUGAAGCCUUUUACUAUAAGUCUUGCCUUGUAUUUGUCAAUUGUACUAUCUGCCUUCAUUUUUCUUUUGAAGAUCCAUUUAGAACCUAACGGUUUAUUUCCUGGAGAAAGGUCAACCAAUUUCCAUGUAUGGUUGCUUAAGAUUGAAUCUAUCUCACUAUUGACUGCCUCUUUCCAAAAGGAUGAGUCUGACGAUGGCAUCGCUUCUUUAAAUAUUUGAGGCUUAUUUUCUUAGAGAAAUGUUACAAAAUCUGAUCCAAAUGAAGUUGACAUUCUUUGAUGUGUACUAUGUCUUGGAUUUUCUUCAUUAUGUACAUUCUCACUUGGUUCAUCUCGAGGUCGCUUAGAUCCUCCACUAAACUGUUCAUGUCUAAUUUUAUACGGGUAAAUAUUUUUAAAGAAUUCAGCAUUGUCUGAUUCAAUAAUUGUAUUUUCAUUAAUAUCCGAAUGUUUGAAUUUAUGAACCAAAAAUCGACAUGCUUUACUACUUUUAGCAUAUCCUAUGAACACACAGUCCACUGUUUUAGGUCCUAUCUUAACCCUUUUAGGUACAGGAACUUGAACCUUCACUAGACACCCCCACACUUUGAAAUAUUCAAGCUGGGUUUCCUUCUUUUCCAUUUUUCGUAAGGAAUUGAUUGUGUCUUACUAUGGAAAACUCUGUUGAGUAUACGAUUGGCCAUAAGAAUAGCCUCCCAUCAUAAGUUUUGUGGUAAAGCAGAACUUAUAAGUAAGGCAUUCAUCAUUUCCUUCAAAUUUCGUUUUUUCCUUUCCGCAAUUCCAUUAGAUUGAGGUGAAUAUGGGGCCGUAGAUUGAUGGAUUAUUCCAUUCUCUACACAUAUUUGCGCAAAGGGAGAUUUAUAUUCUCCGCCCCUAUCACUUCUUAUCAUUUUGAUCUUUUUNNNNNNNNNNNNNNNNNNNNNNNNNNNNNNNNNNNNNNNNNNNNNNNNNNNNNNNNNNNNNNNNNNNNNNNNNNNNNNNNNNNNNNNNNNNNNNNNNNNNNNNNNNNNNNNNNNNNNNUAAACGCAUCUAUUGCUUCAUCCUUACUAUUUAUCGAGUAGACAUAACAGUAUCUAGUGCAAUCGUCAAUAAAAGUUAUGAAAUAUUUUUUCCCACCACGAGAUGGUGUUGACGUUAUAUCACAAAUGUCAGUGUGUAUUAAGUCUAAGGGAUUGGAAUUCCUUUCAACGGACUUAUAAGGAUGCUUUGCAUACUUCGAUUCCACACACGUUUGACACUUUGAUUUAUUGCACUCAAAGUUUGGCAAAACUUCUAAGCUAAUCAGUUUUCAUAACGUUUUAUAAUUAACAUGGCCUAAACAUUCAUGCCAUAAUAAGACUCAAGAAAAUAAGAAGAAUUCAAACUUUUAUUUAUUUCAACAGUCAUUACAUUCAUCUUAUAAAGUCCUUCGGUCAAAUAGCCUUUUCCUACAUACAUUUAUCCUUUGCUAAUUACAAUUUUUUCAGAAACGGUUACACAUUUGAAUCCGUUCUUGUCUAGAAGUGAAACAGAAAUUAAAUUCCUACGUAAAUACGGAACAUACAAGACAUUGUUAAGUGUCAAGACCUUUCCGGAAGUCAUAUUUAAGAAAAUUUUUCCUAUUCUUUCUACCUUAGCCGUAGCGGAGUUAGCCAUGUAGAUCAUUUCUUCUACUUGAGCAGAAGCAAAUAACGAAAACAGCUCCUUGUUGGCACAUACAUGGCGGGUGGCACCAGAAUCCAUCCACCCUUCACUAGGAUUCCCCGUCAAGUUGCAUUCUGAGAACAUAGCACACAGAUCAUCGAAUUCUUUGUUGGAUUCAAUCAUAUUUGCUUGAUCCUUCUUCUUUCCUUUCUUUGGGGCACGACAAUCUGUGGACUUGUGGCCAAUCUUGCCACAGUUGAAGCAUUUUCCCUUGAACUUUUUCUUGGUUUGAUUGCUUCCUUGUUUAGCUUUCUUCCUUUUCUUGAAAUUGUUUUGGUCAUCUUCUACAAUAUGUGCUCCAUUAAUUGUAGAAUUCCUCUUUGACCUUCUUUCGGAAGCUUUAUUAUCCUCUUCAAUACGAAGUCGGACAAAAAGUUCUUCAACAGUCAUCUCCUUGCGUUUAUGCUUUAAGUAGUUUUUGAAGUCUUUCCACAAAGGUGGUAGCUUCUCAACUAUCACUGCUACUUGGAAAUCAUCAUUCACAAUUAAACCUACAAUACAGUUUAUGUGAGUAUUAAGAACAUUUUUAAUUUGUUCAACUAAGGUAUUUUUCAAAGAUAUACCUUCUGCUAAGAGAUCAUGUAUGAUGACUUGCAACUCCUNNNNNNNNNNNNNNNNNNNNNNNNNNNNNNNNNNNNNNNNNNNNNNNNNNNNNNNNNNNNNNNNNNNNNNNNNNNNNNNNNNNNNNNNNNNNNNNNNNNNNNNNNNNNNNNNNNNNNNNNNNNNNNNNNNNNNNNNNNNNNNNNNNNNNNNNNNNNNNNNNNNNNNNNNNNNNNNNNNNNNNNNNNNNNNNNNNNNNNNNACAUAAAGUGGUGAGGUAAAAGAACAUCUUUUGCUGCCACCGCUUGAAGUCAAUGCUUGAAAAUAUUUUGGGCUACUCCGUCAGUGCCAUUGUUGGCGGAGCAUUUGUGUGACUUGAUGUGGCAAUAUUAGUUACCCCCAUAGACGUUGUCGCAUCUAUUAUUUCACUUUCGUUAGUCAUCUUUCCUGUCAACACAAGACAGAAAAAUUUAGUAUUUUCAGAAUAUUACUUAUAAAGUUAAAUAACUUUUCAACUUUUCUUCUUGUUUCUAAUUAACGACGAAGCUUUUAUAACUUCAAAUCGUCAACUGAGUGAACUUUAACUUGUGAUGAAGAUUUUAUGUCUUCUAAUCACUAGUUAAAUUCAAGCGGAGUAAAAAGUUUAAAGCUUUAAUCUCCAAAAACAAGUUAUACAGAUUCUGUAAAAGGAAUUAUUCCUUAAGAUUCUUAUUUUUGUUUUACUUUGGGUACACAGAAUUUGUAUAUGCAGAAACAACAACUUCAACUAAAGUUCAAGUUUAUAAACAAGAACACAAUGAAGUAUAUCAAAUACCCUCAACACAAGAUCAAAAUGACCUUUCCAAGAGGUAUAUUUUAUUUUUUAGAAAAUAGAUGAAACAGAAAUGAAUAAGACCAAGUCGUCCGAAUUCAUGGACUUUUCUUAAGGAUUAAUUCCCCUCACUGUAUCCGAGGUUAUGGAAUCUUCCUCCCAGGAUAAAAUGGCCUUCAAUCCGACUAUAGCGGUACCUCAAAUAGGCGGAUUCUUCGAACACACAGAACGUUUUGAUUGAUCACACAGAAUCUUUGUAAAGAAAAGAAGAGAGUUUUUAUUCUGAAAAUUUUUUAUAUCAAAACCUGUGAAGAAAAGCAUGUUUAUAUAGCCUAGCAGAUGCCUCUUCAAAAAGGUGGCAUUUGUUCACUUAAAUGGUGUGAUGUUUCUGAAAAUGCAUGUCUGCAGCACUUUUACUGAAGCAGUAUACCAUUUCACCAAAUAGUGCACCUGUUCAAAAUAGUACAUCACUUCAUUAAAGAAUUGCAUCUGUUCAGUCGAAGCAAAAACAGUAUAUCAGUUCAGUGCAUGCAUCUGUUCAGUCGAAAAGAAAUAGUACAUCAGUUUAGUCAAAAUAGUGCAUCAAUUCUGUCGAAACAUUGCAUCUGUUACUAUUACUAAAUGCAUAUAAAUGGAGUAUUUAUCAGAUUUCAUCAAAUAAAAUUUAUCCAAAAAGACAGAUAUCAUCGAUCGAUCAUUUUCCAAAUCCAAAUCCAAAUCUGAAGUCGAGCGACCGACGACAACAGUGGCGCGAGGAAUCUCUUAUUUCUUGCCUCACUUAUCAUGUGGAGUAAGUAUUCAGCAUUAUAAACACUCCAAAGUUUCUUUCUCCCACCAAUGUGGGAGAAUUAGUGAACUUUCCAAUUUUGGGAGUACACUUUCCAAAUUGGUGUCUCCUCUUCUCCAUAAUUUUUUUCUCCAUUUUCCAUUCACACUUCUAUGAACCCAACAAUCCCCCAUAUGAAUGGGGAAUAUAUAUUUUUCGUAAAACUUUUACGGACAAGAAUGUGAUCAUCAAGCAAAGACUGAUUCCAUCUGGAUAAGUGGGUUUCCCUUUGAACUUUCCGUAGUGAACAUGCAUCGGAUGCACUCGGUCAAUUGGUAGAUUUGAUAUCUUUGAACCGUUGAGCUUUAAUGUACACCUAGAUAACACAUGUCACACAACCAUCCUUUAACGUUUAUGGUUCUAACAAUUUUAUUCUUUUCAGUCAUGAACACGUCCCGGUUUUCAUGAGAGCUUAGAGAAUAGGCCUUUACUAAUAUUCGCCUUGAAGCAGCUUCCACUUCGCCCUCACAUAAGUGAUUUCUAAACGUUCAAUCCUGUAGAUUAAACUAUUUGGUCAAAUCUGUCAAAUUUAGAUAAUCAUUAAAAGACUUUUCACCUUAAGUCUUAUCCUAGUUUACUAUACAUUGUCUACAUCAUGAGAAUGGGUUGGGUAAUUGACAAUGUUGAACCUGUCAGACACGACUUUGUUUGAUCUCCUUGAACCUAGCUCUUGGGAUCUCCAGUCUGCUAGAUAGAGUUACCGCCACGUUGACUCAUCCUAGGCCUUAAACCCAUUCCCUUGGAUGUUCUUUCCACUCCUUAUCUAGAUAGGCCUUUUGUAAGUGGAUCCAACACAUUAUCCUUUAACUUUACAUAGUUAAUAGUGAUAAUUCCACUAGAGAGAAUUUCCCCAACGGUAUUAUGUCUCCGUCGUAUGUGAUGAGAUUUAUGGUUGUACAUCAUGCUCCCUGCCCUACCUAUUGCCGCUUGGCUAUCACAGUGUAUACAUACUGGUGCCACUGGCUUGGGCCAAUACAAAAUAUCUCCCAAGAAAUUUCGGAGCCAUUCUGCUUCUUCACCAGCUUUAUCUAAUGCGAUAAAUUCAGAUUCCAUUGUAGAGCGAGUGAUACAAGUCUGUUUGGAUGAUUUCCAAGAAACUGCUCCUCCACCGAUAGUAAAUACAUAUCCACUUAUAGAUUUUACUUCGUUUGAUCCGGUGAUCCGAUUUGCAUCACUAUGUCCUUCAAGUACCGCAGGAUAUUUAUUAUAAUACAAAACAUAGUUUUGAAUGUAUUUAAGAUACCCCAAAACUCUUUUCAUUUUCAUCCAAUGAGUUUUGUUGGGAUUACUCCUAUACCGACUUAAUUUACUAAUUGCACAUGCUAUGUCUGGUCGUGUAUAGUUCAUUAUAUACAUUAAACAUCCCAAUACUCUUGCAUAUUCCAAUUAUGAGUCAUUUUCACCUUCAUUCUUUUGAAGUGCAAAGUUCACAUCCAAUGGAGUCUUGACAAUACCGAAUUCCAUAUCCUUGAACUUGUCAAGUAAUUUUUUGAUAUAAUGAGACUAUAACAAUGCUAACCUUUGUGGAUUUUGAUGGAUUCUUAUACCUAAGAUCACAUCUGUAACUCUAAGGUCUUUCUUAUCAAACUUGCUCUAGGGCAUUCGUUUGGUUGCAUUUAUGUCACAAAUAUCUCUGCUGAUGAUCAACAUAUCAUCCACAUAUAAACAAACAAUGACUUGGUGAUUUGGUGUGUCUUUAAUAUAUAAACAUUUGUCACAUUCAUUUAUCUUGAAUCCGUUCGCCAACAUGAUUUGGUCAAACUUUGCAUGCCAUUGCUUAGGUGUUUGUUUUAGUCCAUAAAGUGACUUAACAAGUUUACAUACCUUAUUUUUUUUUUCUGAAACCAUAAAACCUUCAGGUUGUUCCAUGUAUAUUUCUUCCUCCAAAUCUCCAUUUAGGAAUGCGGUCUUUACAUCCAUUUAAUAGAUUUGAAGAUCAUAUACCGCCGCCAAGGCAAUUAACAUUCGAAUCAAGGUUAUCCUUGUUACUGGUGAGUAUGUAUCAAAGUAAUCAAGGCUUUCUCUUUCUGUUUGAAGCCUUUUACUACAAGUCUUGCCUUGUAUUUGUCAAUAGUACCAUCCGCCUUCAUUUUCCUUUGGAAGAUCCAUUUAGAACCUAACGGUUUAUUUUCGGGAAGAAGGUCAACCAAUUUCUAUGUAUGGUUGCUUAAGAUUGAAUCUAUCUCACUAUUGACUGCCUCUUUCCAAAAGAAUGAGUCUGACGAUGGCAUCGCUUCUUUAAAUGUUUGAGGCUUAUUUUCUUAGAGAAAUGUUACAAAAUCUGAUCCAAAUGAAGUUGACGUUCUUUGACGUGUACUACGUCUUGGAUUUUCUUCAUUAUGUACAUUCUCACUUGGUUCAUCUCGAGGUCGUUUAGAUCCUUCACUAGACUGUUCAUGUCUAAUUUAUACGAAUAAAUAUUUUUAAAGAAUUCAGCAUUAUCUGAUUCAAUUAUCGUAUUUUCAUUAAUAUCCGGAUGUUUGGAUUUAUGAACCAUAAAUUGACAUGCUUUACUAUAUUUAGCAUAUCCUAUGAACACACAGUCUACCAUUUUAGGUCCUAUCUUAAUCCUUUUAGGUAUAGGAACUUGAACCUUCGCUAGACACCCCCACACUUUAAAAUAUUCAAGUUGGGUUUCCUUCCUUUCCAUUUUUUUUAAGGAAUUGAUUGUGUCUUACUAUGAGGAACUCUGUUGAGUACACGAUUGGCCAUAAGGAUAGCCUCCCAUCAUAAGUUUUGUGGUAAACCAGAACUUAUAAGUAAAGCAUUUAUCAUUUCCUUCAAAGUUUGGUUUUUCCUUUCCGCAAUUCCAUUAGAUUGAGGUGAAUAUAGGACCAUAGUUUGAUGGAUUAUUCCAUUCUCUACACAUAUUUGCGCAAAGGGAGAUUCAUAUUCUCCGCCCCUAUCACUUUUUAUUAUUUUGAUCUUUUUGUCUAAAUGAUUUUCAACUUCAGUUUUAAUUGCCUAAAUGCAUCUAUUUCUUCAUCCUUACUAUUUAGCAAGUAGACAUAACAAUAUCUAGUGCAAUCGUCAAUACAAGUUAUGAAACAUUUUUUCCCACCACGUAAUGGUGUUGACUUCAUAUCACAAAUGUCAGUGUGUAUUAAGUCUAAGGGAUUAGAAUUUCUUUCAACGAACUUAUAAGGAUGCUUUGCAUACUUUGAUUCCACACACGUUUAACACUUUGAUUUAUUACACUCAAAGUUUGGCAAAACUUCUAAGUUAAUCAAUUUUCGUAACGUUUUGUAAUUAGCAUGGCCUAAACGUUCAUUCCAUAAAUCAUAACACUCAAGCAAAUAAGAAGAAUUCAAACUUUUAUUUAUUUCAACAGUCAUUACACUCAUAUUAUAAAGGCCUUCGGUCAGAUAGCCUUUUCCUACAUACAUUUCUCCUUUGCUCAUUACAAUUUCUCCAUAAAUGGUUACACAUUUGAAUUCGUUCUUCUCUAGAAGUUAAACAGAAAUUAAAUUCCUACGUAAAUACGGAACAUACAAGACAUUGUUAAGUGUCAAGACCUUUCCGAAAGUCAUAUUUAAUCAAAUUUUUCCUAUUCUUUCUACCUUAGCCGUAGCGGAGUUAGCCAUGUAGGGAGCGAAUGACGAAAACAACUCCUUGUUGGCACAUACAUGGCGGGUGGCACCAGAAUCCAUUCACCAUUCGCAAAGAUUCCCCAUCGAGUUGCAUUCUGAGAACAUAGCACACAGAUCAUCGCAUUCUUUAUUGGAUUCAAUCAUAUUUGCUUGAUCCUUCUUCUUGCCUUUCUUUGGGGCACGACAAUCUGUGGACUUGUGGCCAAUCUUGUCACGGUUGAAGCAUUUUCCCUUGAACUUUUUCUUAGGUUGAUUGCUUCCUUAUUCAGCUUUCUUCCUUUUCCUGAAAGUAUUUUAGUCAUCUUCUACAAUAUGUGCUCCAUUAAUUGUAGAAUUCCUCUUUGACCUUCUUUCGGCAGCUUUAUUAUCCUCUUCAAUACGAAGUUGGACAAUAAGAUCUUCAAUAGUCAUCUCUUUGCGUUUAUGCUUUAAGUAGUUUUUGAAGUCUUUCCACAAAGGUUGUAGUUUCUCAAAUAUCAUUGCUACUUGAAAAGCAUCAUUCACAAUUAAACCUACAAAAUAGUUUAUGUGAGUAUUAAGAACAUUUUUAGUUUGUUCAACUAAGGUAUUUUUCAAAGAUAUACCUUCUGCUAAGAGAUCAUGUAUGAUGACGUGCAACUCCUGUACUUGAGAGACAAAAGAUUUGCUAUCUAUUAUUUUGAAGUCCAAGAACUGUGCAACAAGAAAUUUUUUAAUUCCCGCAUCCUCCGUCUUAUAUUUUCGUUCAAGCGCCCCCCACAGUUCCUUUGAUGUCUUGGUUCCACUAUAAACAUUGUAGAGGUCGUCUUGGAAACUACUCAAAAUAUAAUUCCUGCAAAGAAAGUCCGAAUGUUUCCAAGCUUCUACAAUAACGAAGCGUUCUUUGUCCGAGGUUCCCUCGGGCACCUCAGGAGCGUCUUCGCUAGUGAACCAUUGCAAACAUAAAGUGGUGAGGUAAAAGAACAUCUUUUGCUGCCACCGCUUGAAGUCAAUGCUUGAAAAUAUUUUGGGCUACUCCGUUGGUGCCAUUGUUGGCGGAGCAUUUGUGUGACUUGAUGUGGCAAUAUUAGUUACCCCCAUAGACGUUGUCGCAUCUAUUAUUUCACUUUCGUUAGUCAUCUUUCCUGUCAACACAAGACAGAAAAAUUUAGUAUUUUCAGAAUACUACUUAUAAAGUUAAAUAACUUUUUAACUUUUCUUCUUGUUUCUAAUUAACACUGAAGUUUUUAUAACUUCAAAUCGUCAACUGAGUGAACUUUAACUUGUGAUGAAGAUUUUAUGUCUUCUAAUCACUAGUUAAAUUCAAGCGGAGUAAAAAGUUUAAAGCUUUAAGCUCCAAAAACAAGUUAUACAGAUACUAUAAAAGGAAUUAUUCCUUAAGAUUCUUAUUUUCGUUUAUACUUCGGGUACACAGAAUCUGUAUAUGCAGAAACAACAACUUCAACUAAAGUUCAAGUAUAUAAACAAGAACACAAUGAAGUAUAUCAAAUACCCUCAACACAAGAUCAAAAUGAUCUUUCCAAGAGGUAUAUUUUAUUUUUCAGAAAAUAGAUGAAAGAGAAAUGAAUAAGACCAAGUCGUCCAAAUUCACGGACUUUACUUAAGGAAUAAUUUCCCUCAUUGUACUCGAGGUUAUGGAAUCUUCCUCCCAGGAUAAAACGGCCUUCAAUCCUACUAUAGCGGUACCUCAAAUAGGCGGAUUCUUUGAACGCACAGAACGUUUUGAUUGAUCACACAGAAUAUUUGUAAAUAAAAGAAGAGAGUUAUUAUUUUGAAAAUUUUUAUAUCAAAACCUGUGAAGGAAAGCAUGUUUAUAUAGCCUAGCAGAUGCCUCUUCGAAAAGGUGGCAUUUGUUCACUUAAAUGGUGUGAUGUUUCUGAAAAUGCAUGUCUGCAGCACUUUUGCUGAAGCAGUAUACCAUUUCACCAAAUAGUGCACCUGUUCAAAAUAGUACAUCACUUCAUUAAAGAAUUGCAUCUGUUCAGUCGAAGCAAAAACAGUAUAUCAGUUCAGUGCAUGCAUCUGUUCAGUCGAAAAGAAAUAGUACAUCAGUUCAGUUGAAAUAAUGCAUCAGUUUUGUCGAAACAUUGUAUCUGUUACUGUUACUAAAUGCAUAUAAAUGGAGUAUUGAUCAGAUUUCAUCAAAUAAAGUUUGUCCAAAAAGAUAGAUCUCAUUGAUCGAUCAUUUGACAAAUCCAAAUCCAAAUCCGAAGCUGAAGCCGAGCGAACGAUGACGAUGACGACGCGAGGCAUCUCUUAUCAUGUGAAGUAAGUAUUCAUCAUUAUAAACACUCUAAAUUUUCCUUCUCCCACCAAUGUGUGAGAAUUAGUGAACUUUUUAAUUUUGGGAGUACACUUUCCAAAUUGGUGUCUCCUCUUCUCCACCAUUUUUUUCUCUAUUUUCCAUCCACACUUCUAUGAACCCAACAAUCCCCCACAUGAAUGGGGAAUGACUAUUUUUCAUAAAUCUUUUAUGGACAAGCAUGUGAUCAUCAAGCAAAAACUAAUUCCAUCUGGAUAAGUGGGUUUUCCUUUGAACUUUCCGUAGUGAACAUGCAUCGGAUGCACUCGGUCAAUCGGUAGAUUUGAUAUCUUUGAAUCUUCGAGCUUUAAUGUACACCUAGACAACACAUAUCACACAACCAUCCUUUUAACAUUUAUGGUUCUUACAAUUUUGUUCUUUUCAGCCAUGAACACGUCCCGAUUUUCAUGAGAGCUUAGAGAAUUGGCUUUUACUAACAUUCUCAUUGAAGCAUCAUCCACUUCGCCCUCACAUAGGUGAUUUCUAAAUGUUCAAUUCUGUAGAUUAAACUAUUUGGUAAAAUCUGUCAAAUUUAGAUAAUCAUUAAAAGACUUUUUACCUUAAGUCUUAUCCUAGUUUACUAUACAUUGUCUACAUCAUGAGAAUGGGUUGGGUAAUUGACAAUGUUGAACCUGUCAGACACAACUUUGUUUGAUCUCCUUGAACUUAGCUCUUGGGAUCUCCAGUCUGCUAGGUAGAGUUACCGCCAUGCUAACUCGUCCUAGGCCUUAAACCCAUUCCCAUGGAUGUUCUUUAGCCUAGUAGAUGCCUCUUCAAAAAGGUGGCAUUGGUUCACUUAAAUGGUGUGAUGUUUCUGAAAAUGCAUGUCUACAGCAUUUUUGCUGAAGCAGUAUACCAUUUCACCAAACAGUGCACCUGUUCGAAACAGUGCAUCACUUCAUUGAAGAAUUGCAUCUGUUCAGUCGAAACAGAAAUAGUAUAUCAGUUCAGUGCAUGUAUCAGUUCAGUCGAAAAGAAAUAGUACAUCAGUUCAGUCAAAACAGUGCAUCAGUUUUGUCGAAAUAUUGCAUCUGUUAUUGUUACUGCAUGCAUAUAAAUAAAGUAUUAUCGAAAAAGAUAGAUCUCAUCGAUCAUUUUCCAAAGCCAAAGCCGAGCGAGCGACGACGACGACAGAGCGAGGCAUCACUUAUUUCUUGCCUCACUUAUCAUGUAGAGUAAGUAUUCAUCAUUAUAAACACUCCAAAGUUCCUUUCUCCCAGCAAUGUGGGAGAAUUAGUGAACUUUCCAAUUUUGGGAGUACACUUACCAAAUUAGUGUCUCCUCUUCUCCACCAUUUUUUUCUCCAUUUUCCAUUCACACUUCUAUGAACCCAACAACUUAUACAUAAUAAAGUUAUAUAUUAUGUUAAACUAAUGGUUAUAUCAUUUAAUUUCAUCUAUGUUGAGUUAUUUAUAUUUGGAAAUGAAAAAUAGGUUUGAAAAUAAUUAUUUUAUAAGAAAAAUCAUUAAUUUUAAAUGUCCAGUCAUAACAAAGAGGGGUUCACUAGUUUAAUCUUCAAAAUAAAAAUAAAAAUCUGAAAUAAUCGAACCGAAUUUGUAGAAACCGGACCGAACCGAAUUUAUUUCGGUUUGAUUACGGUUGUCAUUUUUGUCAAUUCAAAAAUCGAAAAACCAAACCGAUAUUAAACUAUCAAACCGAACGAACCAAAUGUCCAUCCCUUCUUCCCAGGGGCGAACCUACGUAGAUUCAAGUGGAUUCAUAUGAGCCCACUUCGUCGAAAUAUCACACCGUAUGUAUCAAUGUUUGAAAAUGUACAAGAUAUAUAUUAAUUUUUUAACCCAUUUUAAAUAGCUCAGCCUAGUGGAAAGGCGGGUUCAAGAUUUUUGAUAGGUCAAACUUUCCGACACCAACAACCUUUUUGUUAAAUGUCAGAUAAUUUUUUCUUUCUAAUUUUUUUUUAUUAUAAUAUAACUUUAAAAUUUAUUUAAUCAAAAUUUGUUUAUUUAUUUCUCUGGGUAUUCAUUUUUUAUAUAUUUGAACCCACUUUCCUGAGCAGAAUCUAUGUUGCUAUUAUUGUAUAUUUGAACCCGCCACUGGUACUUGCUAUGUUCAGACUACAAAACAUAUUGGUGUUCCCUUUUAACUGAAAUGUCAUUGCUCUAGUAGUAAAAGGUCAAAGUCAUCAAUAGACACUCAAACUUAUUGUCAAAAUUCACUUAGACACCUAAACUAAGGCAUGUUCCUAUCAGGCCCCUAAACCCCCCACAUUUUGUUCAAAUUGGGUUUUUUUUGCCCUAUCAGCAAAAAACUCAAAGUGUGUUGCACACAAGCGAUGACAUGGCAAAAUGAGCUAAUUAGAAGCUGACACGUGGCAUUAUGGGUCCAAUAAUUAUUAAAAAUUAAUUAUAAUUUUAAAAAAAAAAAGUAUAUACAAAUGGCAUUGAAUAAAUUAUUAAAAAAUAAUUCUAAAAUUAUUUAAAAAUAAAACUGAUUAUUUAAAAAAAAUUAUAAAAAUUUUCUAAAAAUGAAAUAAAUUAUUAAAAAAUUAUUUUAAAAAACAAUUAAUUAAUAAGAAAAAUUAUAAUUUUUUUUUAAAAAUGGCGAGGAUAUAAAUUAUGAAAAAAUAAUUAUAAAAUUAUUUGAAAAAUAAAAAUAAAAAAUUAAUUAUUUUAAAAAAAUAUAAAUUUUUUAAAAAAUGAAAUAAAUUAUUAAAAUAUUAUUUAAAAAAUAAAAACUUAAUUAUUAAAAAAAAUAAAAUUUUUUAAAAAUUGAAAAUGAAAAAUGGCAUAGAGGAUAUAAAUUAUGAAAAAAUAAUUAUAAAAUUAUUUUUUAAAAAAACUAAUUAUAAAAUUAUUUUUUAAAAAAACUAAUUAUUAAAAAGAAAUCUUAAAUUUUUUUAAAAGAUGAAAAUAAAGAAUUAAUUUUUUUUAAAAUUCAGUUUAUUAAAAAUAAAAUAAAAUUGGGGCCUUCUAAUGCUUUUUGGGGCCUUUAGUGUUUCAAAAAAAAAAGAAAAUUUGUUAUUAAAAAAAUUUUGGGGCCCUCAAUGCCACUUGACAACUUUUUAUUCGUAAAUUAGUAAAAAAAAAUGCUCCUCACACGCCUUCCACAAUGGCACUGCACACGUAGUGUCACAUAGGCAAAAAAUGUCUAAUUGGAACAAAAUUCAGGGAUUUAAUGGUCUGAUAUGAACAUGUCUUAGUUUAGGGGUCUAAUUGAAUUUUUGCAAUAAGUUUGAGUGUCUAUCGAUGAGUUUGACCUUUUCAAAUUGACACAUGCGUAACCAAUUCUCUAAAUACCAAUUAUUUCUCCUUCAAGUGAUGUCAUCUUCCACAUGGUGGACCCCAUGAUCCUAAGAAUUAUUUAAAAAAUAAAAAAAUAAUUAUUAAAAAUAAAUUAUAAAUUUUUUAAAAAAAUAAAAAUCCCCCACCUAUCCCAGCCCCCAACGUAUUGUUUUAUUAAAAAAAAAAAUUGGAACCCCCUAAUGCUUUUUGUUUUAUUAAAAAGUGUCUUUAGUGUUUAAAAAAAAAUUGUUAUUAAAAAAAUUUUGGGGCCCUCAAUGCCACUUGGCAUCUUUUUAUUUGUAAAUUAGUAAAAAAAAUUGCUCCUCACACGCCUCCCACGAUGGCACUGCACGCGUAGUGCCACAUAGGCAAAAAAGGCCCAAUUGAAACAAAAUGUGGGGGGUUUAGGGGUCUGAUAGAAACAGGCGUUAGUUUAGGUGUCUAAGUGAAUUUUGACAACAAGUUUGAGUGUCUAUCGAUGUCUUUGGCCAGUAGUAAAAUAAUAUGAUGAUCCUCUUUCAUUUCUUGAUAGAAAAAUGAGGAAUCAUGUAAUAACAUCAUAUCGUUCAACAUUAUUCUUUGCACUAAUUUUGAGUAUUAUGUUAAGGUUUUUAAACUGAUUUUCUUAUCAAAAUUAAGUUUUACUUUUUUCUUGUAAGGAAAAUAAAAGUAAUCAUAAAUAUUUUUACUUUUCAUAAAAGAAAAUAUAAAACUUUUUCAUAUUUGGCAAACCUCUUUCUUAGAGGAAGGUUUUGGACAUCUAUAAGAAUUAAGAUCCCCUCUUCAUACCAUAACAUUGUAACAUUCUCAAUGUAGUCAUUGAAGAGUCUUUGUUUAUGAGUGAUUUCUCUCAAUAGGUUUAAUGUUUUUCGAUAUUAGGUUUUAUAAUAUGCAGGCCGAUUGGCCAAAACAUAUAAUAAUUUUAUGUUUUUUAAUAUUGUUUUCUUUGUCGCCUGAUUUAUCAUCUCAUAGUUUGCAACUAAUAGCUUCCGCAUGACAUCCUCUCGUUUUUGAACCCAACAAAUGGUAUCAGAGUCGAUGGUUCAAAGAUCCGAUGGUUCGAUUGAGGACUUUUUAAGAUCAAAGUUGCAAUCAAUUUGGCGAUGAUGAAGCUUUUGUCAAAAAAAAAAAAAAAGGUUCAAAAACUACAUGUGGAGAAAAAGUUUCAAACAAAAUUUCAACAAUCUUGGUGCUAAUCCAUCUUUAAAACCAAAAUCAAUUUCAACUCAUAUUUAUGACUUCAAUUUUCAAUCUAUACUUGCUUUAACGCUUGGGCUCCUUUCAACUCGUGCAUUUAUUUUUAAUGCAUGAGCUCCACUCUUAACCUGUGCUCACUUUCAAUGCACAAAGUUCUACUUUCAAUCUUAUCAACCGUGCUUUUAUUUUUAAUGCAUAGGACUCUAAUUUUAACCCAUAUCAAUUUUUAAUCAUGGUUGACAGCAGUGAUAUAUGAAGAAUAUAUGAAAAACGAAGAUCAUGCACAAGAAAAAGGAGGAUCAAGAAUAUUUUGCAGAAAAUCAAGCAAAAAAGGGAGAUUUGUUAGGGUUUUUACUCUAAUUUUCUUACCAAAAUUAAGUUUUACUUUUUCUUAUAAAAAAAUAAAAGUAAUCAUAAAUACUUUUAUUUUUGUUAAAAGAAAAAUAUAAAACUUUUCUAUAUUUGGCAAACCUCUUUCUUGGAGGAAAGGUUCUGGACAUUAGGAUACUCUUCUCAUGCCAUAAUACGGUAGCAUCCACAAUGUAGUCAUUGAAGAGUUUUGUUUAGGGAAAUUUAAUGUUUUUUCGAUAUUAGAUUUUAUAAUAUGCAGGCCGAUUGGCCAUAACAUAUAAUAAUUUUAUACUUUUUAGUGUUAUUUUCUUUGUCACCUGAUUUAUCGUCCCAUAAUUUGCAACUAAUAGCUUCCGCAUGACGCUCUCUCGAUUACGAUCCCAACAUAUUGUUUCUUGAGAAUUAAUUGAAUUCCAUAAGUUCCUCCGGUCCGUAAAUUUAAGUUUUAAGAUUUUAACAGCUUUAUAGUUUUUCAGUUACCAUAUCCCAAAAUGUAGCUCCGGUCGUUUCUGCUAUGCUCUUUUUUUUUUUUUUUUCCUUUGGUAUGAAAGUGGCAAUAAAUGAUUCAUGUCUUUUGAAAGUGAAACUAAGAACUAGACCGUCAUUGGAAAAUAACAAACAUUUAUUCUAUUGUCAACUCACUCACAACAACUUUGCAAGGCCAUCAAACAAUCAAAUUUUAACAAUUAUAUUAUGAUAUUCAUUUUCCGGGAACAAAGUUUGUGGCGUAGGCCCAGGCAUUGUUGUUAACCGGAUCUGCUAGAUGGUCAGCAAGGUUCUCCAAUGGACCCUUUCCUGUAACAAUGGCCUGAACAAAGAAUCCAAACAUAGAGAACAUAGCAAGUCUACCGUUCUUGAUCUCCUUUACCUUGAGCUCAGCAAAUGCCUCUGGAUCAUCAGCAAGACCCAAUGGGUCAAAGCUGCCACCGGGAUAGAGUGGGUCGACUACCUCACCAAGAGGCCCACCAGCAAUACGGUAUCCCUCAACGGCUCCCAUCAAGACAACUUGGCAAGCCCAGAUGGCCAAGAUGCUCUGUGCAUGGACCAAACUUGGGUUGCCCAAGUAGUCAAGUCCACCCUCGCUGAAUAUCUGGGAUCCAGCCUUGAACCACACAGCCUCACCAAACUUGACACCAUUACGGGCCAAGAGCUCGGGGAAAACACAUCCAAGAGCACCAAGCAUAGCCCAUCUGCAGUGGAUCACCUCGAGUUCACGGUUCUUGGCAAAGGUUUCUGGGUCUGCUGAAAGUCCAGCGGUGUCCCACCCGUAGUCACCGGGAAAUUCACCGGUCAAGUAGCUUGGAGACUCACCUGAGAAUGGACCCAAGUACUUGACACGGUCUGGCCCAUACCAUGGGCUGCCAGAUGAGGCUGGCUUGGAGACAGCCUUUCUCAUAGAGAUCCUUCCAUUUCCAGUGAUUUCUGAGGCAGAGGGUGAGAGUUUCACUGCCUGUCCAGCAAAAGAAGGUGAAGAAAGUGCCAUUGUAGAAGCUGCCAUGGCUUAUCAAGAGAAAAGUAAGUGUUUGAUGGUAUGAAAUAUUGUUGAAGUUGGCUGUGAUGAGGUGAAGUUAAUUACAAGGGGCUUCACCAUAUAUAGGAGGAGUAAGAGCGGUAGAGGCCUUUAUCUAACGAUAUCUACAUCUUUUUCUUUUGGUGUUAACGAUAUCUGUAUCUGUGAUCUCAUUGGGUAAUAAGAUCACAUGUGUAGAAAUUAAUGCACACUUGGCAAUCUCCAGACUCCAAUCCAUCAAUUUUCCAAGAUGUUUACUAAAAGGACCCAUCCAAUAUUGUCCGCCUUAGUGUGGCUACGAGGUUAUUGACUCUAUUCUGUGAUUCGUUGAGCUUACACUAAGAUAUCUCUUAUCGUUAUCUUUUGGGAAUUUCUCCAGAUUUUAUCCACCAGCUGGGAAUAAGUUACCACCACUAUAGCUCAUUCAAUGUAGAAGUAGAAGUUAGAACUAUGGUUUAGCGUUGCACUAAAUAAAUAGUAGAAAAGCUGAAUUUUUCAGAUUAUCAGUAACUAAUGUCUAUCAAAAGAUUAAUUUGAAGUAAUUGCUUAACAAGCAAAAGUGGAUCAGAAUUUGAACUUUCAUGGGUUCUGUAGUCUAGGACGAGUUCUACUAAAUAGAUUCCAAAUUUAACUUUUCUACAUACUCGCUCCGUCCCAUUUUACCCGUCCCAAAUUGGCUAAGUUGAUGUUUCAUUUUAGUUGUCCCAUUUUACUUAUCAAGAUAAGACAAACUUUUCUUUCCAUGUUUUACCCUUUGCAUUAAUUAUCUUUUCUUUAAAUUAAAAUGUAAACAUCAUUUAAUAGGGGUACUUGGGUAAACUAGCCAUGUUAUAUAUUAUUUUUCUUAAUUGUUGUGCCAUCCUAAUUUGGGACAAGUAAAAUGGGACGGAGAGAGUAUUUAAUAAGCUUAUCAAAACAUAUGCAUGGUUUGGGCCAAAGUUAGUUAGUUCUGUCAAACUGGUUUGCUGAAGGCUAUCUGCGCAUGUUAAUAAGUGAUAUGAUUGUGUUAUGUGCAAGUAUUUUUACAAUGUCAAUGCAUAACCUCUCUAUAGUGUCCUGUAUAGCUUGUAUCUUCUGCUUACAAUGUCCUUUUGGCUCUGGUCAUUGUUAUGUGAACGUGUUCUUCUCUAAAGAGAAUACCACAUGCACGUAAGGAUGGAGGACUAUACAAGAAACUCAUGAAUUUGUUCAAAUCUAAGAUGCUGCUUAAAUUAAGGACACAUAAGUAUAAUGGCCUGGAAACUCAUAUAUUACUUGCUACGUUCAAAAUACAAAACAUAUACAUUGGUUUUCCCCUUAUCAUUAAAAUGUCAAUGGUGUACGCAGUAGUGAAAUAAUAUUAUGUCCUCUUAAUUCAUCUCACUUCUCGACAGGAAAAUAAGGAAUCAUGUAAAUAACAUCAUGUUGUACAUUGUUAAUCGUGGCACUAAGAGUAUUGCUUCUUGAGAAUUAAUUGAAUUCCAUAAGUUCCUCUGGUCUGUAUAUUCAAAUUAUAAGCUUUUUGUCAAAAAACAAAGGGAGCGGUAGAGUUAAGCUACAAGGAGAAAAAUAUAAGGAAAUUGCAGCUGUAAAUUGCUACAAAAAAGACUGCAGUAAAGAACAAGAAGCUGAAACUUUUUGAGUGUUUUCUAUUUUUUGGAUAGUUAUAAAUGUCUAAUGUCAUCCCUUAUUUAUACUUAUGUAGGGAUGAUUCUAGAUACUACAAAUCUAGAGUGUUCGUAUACAAAUAUCUCCCUCAAAUAUCUAGCACCCUCUAGAUCUUUCCUAAAUAUAAAUAUCAAAUAUACUACACUAUUCCUUUCUAGAUUCUUCUAACUAGAAUUACCUAAAUAUCUAGAUAUUUCUUUAGCAUGAUCAUCCUAGAAAUUUUACUAGACUAUUCUACAGACUGAACUAGAAAUCUAUGAUUCCAAAAAAUCUACUUUAAUAUUUUCACACUCCCUCUUAAAGUGAUUUUUUUGGAAGCUAUCCUAAACUUGUUGCGGAAGAACUCAAGUGAAGCUUUGAACCGUACUUUAGUGAAAAUCUUGAUAGUUUUUGCAUGACUCCUCUUUCUUCUUCAAAUGAUGAAGAUUUCUCGUUAAUGAUUGGCCCUUGUUGAGUUUUAUCAUAUUGAGUUCUCGAGCUCCCCCUUUCUCUGAACUCCUCCGUAACUUCAUUAUCUGGUGACCCAAAUAUGAUGGAAAAGUUUGAAACUCUAGGAUUGAAGAUUUUAGAACUUACUCUUUCUGAAGCAACUCCAUAACACAAGAAUAAUUUUUUGGUAUCAACCUCCUUAUUUGAUUUGAUGACGAUCUUUUGUUCGGGCCUAUCAACUAGCUCCCAAGUAUUAUUUUUUUAUCAUGGCAAGCUCCUCAUCCAUUGCGGAAAUCCAAGUUUCAUGACUUCUGCUUCUUCAAAAGAAGAUGGUUCCACAAGAGCAAAAUUGCAUUGCUCAUAAACUUCAGGUAGUGACCUGGUCUUCAAAAUAGGAGAAUCUGAAGUUAAUUCAACAUCUGAAUUGUCUUCUUUUUCAAUAAGAGGAUUGGAAGAAAUAUUACACGUCUGUGGAUUUUGAGCUGCAACUGAAGUACACUCAUCUUGGUUCUUUACAACAAUAUCUCGAUCCUAAUCAUAGUGGCUAGACUCAUCCACCGCAAGAUCUCUACUGAUAAGCACCUUUUACGCACGAACAUUAUACACUUUCUACCCUUUUGCAGCUGUGUUAUAGCCCAACAAAAUACAAAGUCCUGCCUUGUUAUCCAAUUUACCUCUUUUAGCAUCAGGAACAUAUGCAUAACAGACUGAACCAAAAACUUUUAAGUGUCUCACAGAUGACUUUAUACCUUUCCAUGCUUUAAAUGGUGUCAUGUCUUGGAGUGCUCUAGUUGGUAAUAUGUUUAGUAAAUAGACUGCAGUACUGACUGCCUCAGCCCAAAAACAUUUGGGUAUCUUCUUUUCUGCUAGCAUACAUCUCACCAUCUCCAUCACGGUUCUGUUCUUUCUCUCAGAAAUACUGUUUUGUUCUGGAGUGUAGCUCACAGUAAAUUGUUGUUGAAUGCCCACAUCUUUACAAUACUUGUUGAACUAAUGCGGAGUAUAUUCAGUUUCAUUAUCUGACCUGAUAUACUUCAAUCGGCAACCACUCUUCCUUUCUACCAUAGCCUUGAAUUCUUUGAAAACAGAAAACACCUGAACUUUGUUACUUAAAAAUAGACCUAUGUCAUUCGAGUUAGAUCAUUUAUAAAGAGAAUAAAAUAUUUAUUCCCACUCAAAGAAGUUGUCCUCAUUGGUCUACAUAUAUUUGUAUGAACCAACUCUAGUUUUUCCUUCGUCCUCCAAAGACUUCUUUUAGGAAAGAAUUAUUUAUGCAAUUUACCAAAUUGACAUGACUCACAAACAUCUCGGCACAUGUCAAUUUUGGGUACAUCAAGCACCAUACCCUUGGAUUGCAUAUACACCAAUGAACUAAGAUUGUAAUGACCGAAUCUUUUGUGCCAAAGCCAAAUAUCAAUUAUUUCAACAUUGAAAGAGCAACUUUCAACAGAAUAGCAUGAAAUUGGAAAGGAAUUACCAAUCAUGCUAAUUUUAGCUACUUCACAACCUUUAGGAUCAUAAAUGACACAUUUUUUAUCCUUAAAAAUAAGUGAAUAAUUAUUGUGAAGUAACUGAGCAACACUCAACAAGUUUUGAGUCAAGCUUGGCACAUAAAAAACAUCGUUUAUGAUUUUCAUACCUUCGUCCGUAGGAAAUUUCACUGAUCCUCUUCCUUGAGCUUGCACCAGUGCACCAUCUCCUAGCUUCACUUUGAUCCUAUCAGACCUGUCCAGGCUAACAAAUAGAUUUUCAACAAUCGUCAUGUGCCUUGUGCACGCACUAUCGACAUGCCAAUUAUAUCGAUCGACAUGUGAUAUGUGUGAAGCCAUGAAUACCUCUUCCUCUAUUUUUUGAACUUGGUGAUCUUCCGCAAAAUUUACUCAUUGAAAAGACUGACCAAUUUGAGUUUGCUUUUGCCUGCAAUGCUUCUCAAUGUGCCUAUACUUCUUGCAGUAUCUGCAUUGAAUAGGAGACCUCUUGGACUUCUGCCAACAAUUUUUCUAUAAGUGGUUUGUCUUCUUACAAAUACCACAAGGUGGAAAUUUUUCUCUCCUCAACGAUUCACCUUGGUAUCCACCAGAUUUCACCUCUCCAGAGUGGUCUAAAAAGACUUUUUUGCCUUCUUUUUGUUGCUUGAAAGGCAUAUUCGACUGUUCCUUCGAUUCUCAUAGUUACCCAUUGCUCUUGGAUUUGCAAUUUAGAGAUCAACUCAGCUAUUGAAAGAAUAGUCAAGUCACAGGACUCUUUAAUAGCUGAGAAUUUGUAUUUAAACUUGUCUGGAAAGCUGACCAUAAUCCCCUUUAUAACCUUCUAAUCUAAAAAGUUUUCACCAAGUAUCCUUAUGUGGUUCACAAUAUCCAUUAGCUUAGAAGAGUAUUCUUUUACACUAUCCGGAUCCUUCAUCUUCAAGAGCUCAAACUCCCUCUUCAAAGCUAAAACCUUAACAGACUUAACUCUGUUGCUGCCUUCAAACUCCUUCUUUAGCUUAUCUCAGGCUUCUUUAGCUGUCUCACAAGCCAUAAUCCUUGUAAAUAUCACUUCCGUAAGGGUUGAAUGUAUGCAAGUGAGUGCUCUUGGAGAUCUAGUCACCAAUUCAUCAUACUUUUUGAUAUCAUUUAGAGUUGAGUUGUCUCUCAAUGGCUGGACAGCAGGUUCUCCUCUCUAAACAAUAUCCCACAAGUUGAGAGUCUUCAAAUAAGCCUUCAUUUUAAUGGUCCAAAUAUGAUAAUUCUCCCCCGAAAAAAUCGAAGGACCCAUUGUUGGUUGAUUUUCUGGUGCCAUGUUUUUUCAGUAAAUAGAUUCAAGAAAGGAGCUAAAAAUAAGAUGAGUCAAUCAACAAAAAACAUAUUCAGAUCCCGUAAGAAAUGGGCUCUGAUACCAUGUCAAAAAAUAAAGGAAACGGGGAGAGUAAAGCUACAAGGAGAAAAAUAUAAGGAAAUUGCAACUGCAAAUUGCUACAAAAAAGACUGCAGUGAAGAAGGAGAAGCUGAAACUUUUUUAGUGUUUUCUAUUUUCUAGAUAGUUAUAAAUGUCGAAUGUAAACCCUUAUUUAUUCUUAUGUAGGGACGAUUCUAGAUACUACUCCCUCCAUCCCAUUUUACCCGUCCCAAAUUGGGAUGGCACAGCUAUUAAGAAAACAAUGAUUGGUAAUGUUACUUUACCAUUUUUUCUCUCUUAAUUGUGUCUUGUUGUUAGUUCCAAUAUUGAUGGAUGACCAAUACAAAAGCACCAUUUAUAUUCUUAAUGGUGUACUCCUAAUGGUACUCUUCUUUGCAACGUUUUUCAAAAAUGUUAAUAACAAGGAGUAAGCAAUUACACUGAGGAUAAAAUGAAAAAAAAAGUUGUCUUAUCUUGAUAAGUAAAAAAGGACAACUAAAAUGGGACAUCAAAUUAGAAAAUUUGGGACGGGUAAAAUGGGACAGGGAGUACAAAUCUAGAGUGUUCUUAUACAAAUAUCUUCCUCAAAUAUCUAGCCCCCUCUAGAUUUUUCCUAAAUAUAAAUAUCAAAUAGACUACACUCUUCCUUUCUAGAUUCUUCUAACUAGAAUUACCUAAAUAUCUAGAUAUUUCUUCAACAUGAUUAUCCUACAAAUUUCACUAGACUAUUCUAGAGACUUAACUAGAAAUCUAUGAUUCCAAAAAAUCUACUUUAAUACCAUCACACUUUUACCACAUCCAAAAUGUAUCUUGGGUUUUUUUUUUUUUUGGCUUUGUCAUCGAUUUUUCUCCCCUUGAUAUGAAACUGGCAGUAUUUAUUCAUGCCAUUGGAAAAUGAAAUUCAGGACUACACAAUAACUGGAAUAUAAGAAAAAUCCAUUCUAUUGUCAAGUAAACUCACAACUACAACUUUACAAGGGCAUCAAACAAUGAAAUUUUAAGAUUGUUUUACGAUAUUCAUUUUCCGGGGACAAAGUUUGUGGCGUAGGCCCAUGCGUUGUUGUUAACUGGAUCUGCAAGGUGGUCAGCGAGGUUCUCCAAUGGACCCUUUCCGGUAACAAUGGCCUGAACAAAGAAUCCAAACAUAGAGAACAUAGCAAGUCUACCGUUCUUGAUCUCCUUUACCUUGAGCUCAGCAAAUGCCUCUGGAUCAUCAGCAAGACCUAAUGGGUCAAAGCUGCCACCAGGGUACAAUGGGUCGACUACCUCACCAAGAGGCCCACCAGCAAUACGGUAACCUUCAACGGCUCCCAUCAAGACAACUUGGCAAGCCCAGAUGGCCAAGAUGCUCUGUGCAUGAACUAAGCUUGGGUUGCCCAAGUAGUCAAGUCCACCCUCGCUGAAGAUUUGGGAUCCAGCCUUGAACCACACAGCCUCACCAAACUGGACACCGUUACGGGCCAAGAGCUCGGGGAAAACACAUCCAAGAGCACCAAGCAUAGCCCAUCUGCAGUGGAUCACCUCGAGUUCUCGGUUCUUGGCAAAGGUUUCUGGAUCUGCUGAAAGUCCAGCGGUGUCCCACCCGUAGUCACCAGGGAAUUCGCCGGUCAAGUAGCUUGGGGGCUCACCCGAGAAUGGGCCCAAGUACUUAACACGGUCUGGGCCAUACCAUGGGCUUCCAGAUAGGGCAGGCUUGGAGACAGCCUUUCUCAUAGAGAUCCUUCCAUUUCCACUGAUUUCUGAGUUAGAGGGUGAAAGUUUCACUGCCUGUCCGGCAAAAGAAGGGGAAGAAAGAGCCAUUGUAGAAGCUGCCAUGGUUUAUCUCAAGAGAAAGGAGAGUAUUUGCUGGUUUGAAAUAUUGUUGAAGUUGGCUGUGAUGAGAUGAAGUUACAAGGGGCCUCACUUUACCAUAUUAUAGCAAGUAAGAGGGGAAGAGUCCUUAUCUAGUGAUAUCUAUUUCUAUGAUCUCAUUGGGUAUCAAGAUCCUUUGUCUAGCAAUUAAUGCACACUUGGGUAUCUCCAAUCCAUCAAUUAUCCAAGAUGUUUGCUAAGGGGACCCAUCCAACAUAGUCCUCUCACAUGUGGCUACAAGGCUUGAACAAUAUUCUGUGAUUUGCUGAACUUACAAUGCUGAUAUCUCUUAUCAUAAUCCGUUGAGAAUUGCUCCAGAUUUUAUUUAUCAGCACUACAGCUCAUUCGAGGUAGAACUAUGGUUUACCGUUUCACUAAUUAUAUUCAGGAAAGUUCAUUACUUGAUAUAUAAAUUGUGUAAAAAUUAAUAAUACAUGUUUGGAACUUUAUUAUAUAAGACCUUAAUAUAUAGUAAUAUAAGAGUCAGUAGCAUAGUAAAUUAUUUAACCUGCAAUUCAUAUAAAAGUGAAGAUACUGUUUUGGGGGUUUUACAAAUUUAAUAUUUACAGGUGCAUGCAAAGCAAGAAUAUGAUCUUCCCUUUCAAAACAUUUAACAUAGGUUCAUGCUUGGAUCUUUAUUAAUCUGAUCAUGAAGAGGUAUAUUAAGUUCUAUAUAUGUUGCACUGUUAAUUUCAUGUUUAGAUAUUUAAUGACGGGUUAGAUUCAUUUUAACUACUGCACAGUGCUUAGACUAAUUGGAAAGAACUUGUUCAUGAGCGGGGGUUGGCAAACGGGCGGGUUGACUCAGAUAUAAACAAAUCAAAAAUGAGCCAACAAAAAUGGAUAAAAUAUCCGACCCACCUGUAUUUGAUAUGGAUGAAAAAUGAGAAACCAACGGGAUAUUAUUUCAUAUUAUGUAAAAGAAAUAAGUACUUCCAAUAUGAGAAAGGCAGAGUAUGUACAUGGAUUAAUUAAUUAAUUGGGAUUCACCAGCAGCACAAUAUGACCAAUUAAUUGUGUUAAGGGCAGGAACAUUUGCCAAUAAUGGAUCAGGUUAUUUACGGGUUUGGAUAAAAGGAACUUUAACUUGACACCAAAUUAUAACUAUGUGCUUUUAACUUUGUUAGUACACAAGUAGACCCUUUAACUAUAUAAAAAUCAAAUAAAAAAAUAGUCUAAUUCAGCAACUUACAUGCGUAAAAUUCAAUCACUCCUACGUGGAUUAAUAAUCCACUCAGAUGCUGCCACCUAAUAAAAAAGACGCAUUAUAACUAUGAUCAUUAACUUUGCGCACAAAUAGACGCUUUAAUUAUACAAAAGCUGAAAAAAAAAACACUUCAAUUUUAACUCUGACGCUCGUGAUUUUGAGUGUAUACAUGCAUUUUGCCAGGUUACGAUUGGAGUGUUUGUUUGUUCAACUUUUGUAUUGUUAAAGGCCUACUUGUACAUUGAUAAAGUUAAAGAUCAUAGUUAUAAUUUGAUAUCAAGUUACAUGUUUAUGUACUGAGUUUAAGUUCUGUGCACCGUCAGUGCACAAAAUAUUUUAUACUAUCAGUUAACUUGACCUGCUAUUGCAGGUUACCCAAUUAUUUAUAUAAAAAUUUAAAAAUAAAAAAUUGUUAUUGCAGGUUACCCAAUUAUUUAUAUAAAAAUUUAAAAAUAAAAAAUUAGAUAACCUGCAAUAGCAAGUCAAGUUUACCUAAUAGGAUAGAAUAUUUUGUACACUGAUGGUGCACAAAACUUAAAAAUUUAGGUAUUAUGCCUAUUUACAACUUAUGGAGUAAAUAUAAGUUGUAAAUAUUCUCUUUUUUCACACAGUAAUUUUUAACUUGUAAUAGCUGAUAAGUCCCCGUUGUUACAAGAAACUUUAAGAUUUUUUCCAAAGAUGCAUCAAAUUAAGGACAUAAUUAUAAUGGUCUGGAAACCUAUAUUAUAGCAUGUUGAUUACUACUUGCUAUACCUUCAGACUACAAAACAUAUUGGUUUUCACUUAACAUUGAAAUGCCAAUGGUCUAUAUGGUAGUGAAAUAAUAUUAUGUCCUCUUAAUUGCUCUUUCACUUCCCGAUAGGAAUCACGUAACAACAUCUAUGCUCAACAUUUCUCUGUGCACUAUUCUCUGUGCACUAAUUUAAUGUGUUCCUUCCUGGGAAUUAAUUGAAUUCCAUAACUUCCUGUGGUCAGUAAACUUAAGUUUGAAGCUUAUAACAGCUUUAUAGUUAUUCUAGUUACCACGUCUCAUAUUAAUCUACAGUUUUUCUUUACUAUGUUCUCUUUCUUUAAUUCCCCUUUAGUAUGAAAGUGGCAAAAAAUUUUAUUCAUGACUUUGGAGAAUGUAACUCAGAACUACACAAUUAUUGGAAUAUGAGACAAAAAUCCAUUCUAUUGUCAAGUAACUGCUCAUAACAACUUUACAAGACCAUCAAACAAUGAAAUUUUAAGAUUGUUUUACGAUAUUCAUUUUCCGGGAACAAAGUUUGUGGCGUAGGCCCAGGCAUUGUUGUUAACCGGAUCUGCUAGGUGGUCAGCAAGGUUCUCCAAUGGACCCUUUCCUGUAACAAUGGCCUGAACAAAGAAUCCAAACAUAGAGAACAUAGCAAGUCUACCGUUCUUGAUCUCCUUUACCUUGAGCUCAGCAAAUGCCUCUGGAUCAUCAGCAAGACCCAAUGGGUCAAAGCUGCCACCAGGGUAUAG
rnacentral:lncRNA from 1 species